GAUGAACGCUGGCGGCGUGCCUAAUACAUGCAAGUCGAGCGAACAGACGAGGAGCUUGCUCUUCUGACGGUAGCGGCGGACGGGUGAGUAACACGUGGAUAACCUACCUAUAAUACUGGGAUGACUUCGGGAAACCGGAGCUAAUAACGGAUCAUAUAUUGUACCGCAUGGAUCAAUAGUGAAUGACGGCUUUGCUGUCACUUAUAGAUGGAUUCGCGGCGGAUUAGCUACUUGGUAAGGUAACGGCUUACCAAGGCGACGAUGCGUAGCUGACCUGAGAGGGUGAUCAGCCACACUGGAACUGAGACACGGUCCAGACUCCUACGGGAGGCAGCAGUGGGGAAUAUUCGACAAUGGGCGAAAGCCUGAUGGAGCCACGCCGCGUGGGUGAAGAAGGUCUUCGGAUUGUAAAACCCUUUUAUUGGGGAAGAAAAAAAGUGUAAUUAAAUACCGCCGUUCUGACGGUACCCAAACAAAAAGCACCGGCUAACUUCGUG
rnacentral:rRNA from 1 species